CUGGUUGUUUACCUGUAGUAGAACGUCUCAUUCAAUUAAAGUGCAACAAAGCAGCAACAACUAAUUGUGGAAGGACAGCUCUACACGUUGCUGGUAAUGUGGAGGUAGUUGAUUAUCUCUUUAGCAUUGGCCUCAACAUUGAAGAUCGUGAUGAGAAUGGCUACACACCAUUUCUAGAGGCAUGUCGUGAUGGUCGUUUACCUGUAGUAGAACGUCUCAUUCAAUUAAAGUGCAACAAAGCAGCAACAACUAAUGGUGGAGAGACAGCUCUACACGUUGCUGGUAAUGUUGAGGUAGUUGAUUAUCUCGUGAGCAUUGGUCUCAACAUUGAAGAUCG